CUGCACAAUCCACGAAUAAGAGUGAAUAUUUUCAGACACACCCUUCUUAUUCUAUCGAUUUCUUAAAUAUAGUAAUACGGAGAAAUUUAUACCGAAUCCAAAACAAAUUAAGUUUUAUAUCCGUUUAGUUUUAGACAAAAAGAUUUUUUAGAUAUUUUUUGAUUGCGUAUUAUUGUUUACUAAUAAGCAUUUCAAGCCGAAAGCUCUUCAAAAUCGUGCUUAUAAAUUAGUGAAUGGCAAGUUACAGAAGCGUGGCUGGAGAUGAAAUUUCCUCAGCCUCUCUUAUUACAAAUUUAGUACCUAUUCAUUCAAAUAAAUCCAAAGCUGCUGGAUCCGAAUCUUGGUGUUGUGACUUUUCAUCGGAUGAGUCAUACUUUGCUUGGUCUUCUGGAAAUUGUGUUGUUACUAUCAUUCCUUGGAGUUUUUGUAAAGCAACAUUGUUUAAGCACAAAGAAGUUAAUGUACCUUUCAAGCCAGGAAUUGGGAUUCUCGUUGAUAGCAAACAUGAAGUAGAAGAUUGCUUUGGCUGCAACACUAUUUCUGUGUUUACUGGUCACCUCAUUCGCUCUGUGGCAUUUGGUUCUUCUUCCUUAAAUUAUGGUGAUAAGCCAUGUUCUCCUUUCUGGUCCCGUCUUUGUUCUUCCAAAGAUUUGGUUCUGGCAACUGGCCAUAUUAAUGGACGCAUCAGAAUAUGGGAUGUCUUGACAGGCAAACUUAUUCUUCAACUUAUGGACCAUAGUGAUAUGGUGUCUCACAUGACAUUCAAUCCACUUGGUAAUCUUGUUUUAAUUUCCUCAUCUUAUGAUGGUACACUCAAAGUAUGGGAUUUGCAUAAUGACGGAAAUAUGUUUCGAACACUUAAAAUGAACAACAGACCUGUUUAUUCCUGUUGCUGGUCACAUGAUGGAAAAACAGUUGUGUCUGUUGGCAUGUGUAAAUUGGUGUAUGUUUGGGACAUGAAGAGCUUAAAAGUGAAAUUCAUGCUUGAGGGUCAUCAUCAUGAUGUUGUUUCCUGUGCCUUUUCUCCAGAUGACUGUCUCAUAGCUUCCGCUUCCUGGGAUACCCGCGUCAUCCUCUGGGAUUCAUUUAAUGGACAAGUGCUCAAAUGUUUUGGCCAUUUACAACCUUCACCUCGUCUCAUUUUCGCUUGUGGAUACAAUGGAACAUGGAUUCGUGAUGUAUCAUUUUCUUCUGAUGGAGCUCAUAUUGCAACUGUAGCAGAUGAUGGAUACUUGAGGUUUUGGGAUAUCACUAAAGAGGAAACUCCUGAAGCUAUGGCCCCCAUUGAAAAUUCACUAUGCUGUACAUAUUCUCCAUCAGGACGUAUCCUUGCCGUAGGUGGAUGAUCGGGGGUGAGAAUCCCAUUGGUAGCGGUAGCCUGAUGCAUUCAGCGCUUCAGCAGCGAAGGUGCUGAAGCCCACUGGCUCCUUUAUUUCCAAAUACUGGGGGUUUUAUGGCCUGCUUUGGAUUGGUGCAGUUACGAUGAGUGUCCUCAUAAUAAUUAGUUCACAAAGUCGAAGUGGUCCAGUAUCAUUUUGGAAAGCUCCACUGUGUGUAAAGUCUUUAAAGUAUUUGUCUCGAAUAGCUGUCCGCAAAUCUGUGGGUGCAGAAAGCGUACCUGAACUCUGCAUUCCUAAAUCUCUAGUCGAGUAUUUGUUGUACAAGGAAUGGGAGUGAGUUUUACUAGUCCAAGAAAGAUCUUCCUUUCAUUGUAUAUCAUGCCCAAACAUUUUUUAUUGAUGAAAGAAAAUGCCCAUCUCUUUGUAUCAAGAUGUUACCUUUUUUGUAUACAUUUUAAUUUACUAACAUGGAUAUUUUUUACUUUGUUUUUAUUUUCGUGAGUUAAGUCUGGAUGUCCUUACAAAAAGUAAUUAAAAAAUCGGCAUAAGUACUCUUAAAAGAGUGUUUAAUCGUGAACAAAAUCUGUAUGUCAUUGAAAAUAGUCUUAAAAAAUAUAUUUUUUAAGAAAUCUGGUCAUUGUUUUAAUUAGAAAAAUAUAUAUUAUAUGUUUAAAUCAUAAAUCAUUAUGUUUGAAAUUUUUUUUGAAAGGAUAUAAAGAUUAUUCAAAAGAAAAAAUUUAGAGACUUCUGAUAUUUCAUUUCAGCAAAAGGACAUUGAAUUUCUAAGAAAAUGAAUAAAUAUAACGUUAAAAAUAUUUAAAAAGUUAAUUAAGAAUGCUUAAGACGUGUUUAUGAAAUUUUCACCAUUCAGGCAUUCAUUGAUAAUUCAGGCAAUAAAAUUAUGAGCAGUUUACUUUUUUUUUUGAAACUCAAAGUCCAAUUGUGAUUUUAAGUGAUUGUGCAUUGAAGUAAAGUUUGCUAAUAUUUUAAGUUUUCAUUUUAUUUAUAUUCAUAUUUUAAACCAUUAGAAAAUGUGUUCAUUCAGUUUCAACAUCUUAGUCAUUGUUAUAGUUCUUAUAGAUAGAUUUUUAGAAAAAAUAAAUUUUUAUUUCAUAUAAUAUUCAAUUUAUUCCAUUUAAAUAUCUUUGGUAACUCUUUGUUGCUUGUAUGAUUAAAUAUCAUUGGAGUUAUGUCUGGGAAAUAUGUUACUUAAAAGUGAGUGACUAUUAUUUUUUCUAUUUACGUCUGAUCUUAACACUUCAAUGUGAUGUUUUUUUUAAAUUAUAUUUUUAUAAAUUUAGUUAGGUAUACUAUGCUAAAAAUGUUGUUUAUUAUAUUGGAAAACGAUUGUUUUAAAUAAAUUAAAAUUGCUGUUAAAAGUUUUUUUUAAUUAUUAUUAUUCCUUAAUUGGAUAUCAAUUAUUUGCUACUUAGUUUACGCAUUUUGCUUAUGUGUUGUGAUCAAAAUAGAGCUUGUUAGGGAAGAGAAAAAAAAAUACAAAUAUUGAUUUAUUUACUUUUCUAAUCAUAAGGUACUGUGAUUUCUUGAAUUCUAAUUUUGAUGAUACUCGCUCAGUUUGUCAAUAUUAAAUUUUUUACACUAUAACAGUACAUUCAGAUACUAGUUUAAGAUGAAACAAUUUUGAUUAAUACCUUAAAUCUGAUAGUUAUAAUUUAAAAUAUUUGGUGCAAAAAUUUUUUGCUUUACAGUUUUUAUUUCAUUUUAACUUUAUUGUCAAGGAUUUCAAUAUUAUAUUGCAUGGUCCUAACUUUUGAGUAGAGAAUGAAAUUAAAGUUGAUACAUAUGCCAGGUACUGUAAAUAUACUCCAUAUGUCUUCCAAUUGUAUUGAUAUUUGUCCACAUUGUUUUGAGAUUUUAGUCUGCCUAAUUCUCUCUAGAUGAGCACUUUUCCUGCUGUUACUAGCAUUGUUCCAGCACCAAAUAGCUAAUGUUGCUCAUUGUUUUUUUUUAGAUUAAUUGUGUGGGAUUUGUUUUUAUAUCUGAGCUUUUUAAAUUUACACUUUUUUUUCUUGUGUCAAAUAUACUUAAUAUUUUAAAAAAUAAAAAUUUGUUCCAA